rnacentral:pre_miRNA from 1 species
AGGUCGUGUCUUGUGCAACUUGUGGUUUUUUCAUUAGUCAAAUUGCACUUGUCCCGGCCUGC